rnacentral:tRNA from 3 species
GCGCUGGUAGCUCAGUGGAUAGAGCAAUCGCCUCCUAAGCGGUAGGUCGGAGGUUUGAAUCCUCCCCAGUGCGCCA